GUGAGAAAGCACCCUUUUUCUAAAGCACACACAAAAAGGAGAAACCUCCUUUACCAUCCAGUACAUUGGUGAACUCGCGACGAUUCCAGCCAUCCUGCUGGCUCGGCAAUUGUUCAGAUUCAGCCGGUUUUUGGCAAAACUCCGAUAAUCCACAGUACUAUAGCUUUCAUGUGCUGGGGCACCAUGCCAGUGUUGCAACUGCUGCAGAAGUGACCCUAUUGCUGAGAAAGGAAAAGAGGUUUUCUGUGAAAAAAAAUGAUUCAGUCCAUGUGAUGGCAAACAAAUCAUCCUUGGUUUUGAGGAGGACUGCUGCAACAGAGAUAAUAGGAUUUCCCAUGAGUGGAAGCCUUCCCUGUUGGGGUACCAACAGGUAUAAGCAAUCAGUAUGAAGGCUUCAGCGGCUUCAGCUUCACCAAAAACAGAAUGCGUCAUGUGUGUCUCUGCUUUUCUCCACUACCAGAAAAACAAGUGGAGAUGUAGUCCUGCUACCCACAGGCAACCAAUGGAAAACUACAGAAGGAUCUCAGUUAGAUCUGAUCCUACAGAAGGAUCUGAGUUAUAAACUCAGUCUUCCUAGUCAAAAGAUUUUGAACCCAAGCAAGUAUGGCAAGAUCUAUUUAGCUGGAAUGAGUAAAAGGAACUGGAAUAACUUAAAAAAAAAAAAAAAACAACAGUCUCUCUCCUUACGGAAAAACUUGGUCUCUUUAUGCCUGGUUAAUUAAUAUCCUCACAAGUCCAAAACAAGAGUUGAAAAGAGAAGCCUUGCCAACAGAGAACAUCAGCACUUUUUAAUUAUGCUCUUUGUGGUAAAAGGUGGGCCGGUGAGAUGACCUACAGGAGGAAGUCAGCACUUUUUGAGCUUCUUCAAAGGAGACUUUUGAAACUAAGAAAACCUGUAUUUUCACAGAAAAAAAAUCAAACAGUAAAUGACCUAAUGCCUGUUACAAAGACACCUGAUUAAAGCAAAUUCGACGUACAGUUUAGAAUAGACUAGCAUCAAACGGUCUGAAAGGGAACAGAUGAACCAAGAAAAUUGAAAGUCAAUGGAAAUCAUAAAUACCUCCUGAUUACGUGGAUUUUUCCCAGUCACUUUUGAAAAGUAACAAGGAACAUCUGAUCUCUCUGCUCCUGCUCUAAUUAGGUUGAAAGGUGAAUUCUUCAAAAGAGGGAGGCACUGCUUGUGGUUACCUGCUGCAGAUAAGAGUCUGUUGUGAAGUUGCACGUUUUUGCACACUUCAACUUUCCAAAUAAAUGUUUCUUCCAAUUUGAAUAUUUCACUUUUUCGGCUUUUCUGCUUCAUGACUGUUUCCUUUUUUUUUCUGCCCAAAUCAGUGUAUUUUCUCCAAGUGGAGUUGCUGCAUAAUUCUGUAGGUAUUUGAUCAGGGCAGUUUCUCUCAUCAGUCAGAGAGCAAAUGACAUUACCUGUAAUCUCUAACCAUCCUAUGGCAUUGUAAAAUAUGAAGUUUCAGGACAUGAAUUAGCUUUCAAAUACCAUAGAUGCAUAUUAAAAAAAAGCAUGUACCUAUUGUCAUAUGCUACGUUUGUACCUUUAUUAUCAUUCAAUACUCCCCUGGGGACAUUACAGCAUUCCAAACUGAGGAAUAAUGUGAAUACAAUCUGAAUACAGGAGGAUAAAAGAUCUCCAUAGCAAGGAUUGUCUCUGCAAUAAAUGUACAUUUUUGAACACGUCCAUACUAUGAAAUACUGCUGUCUGGACUAAGGUUCCUUUUAGUAUUAGUAUGACAGUAAGUUAAAGAAAACUCUAUUGCCAUAAAAAUAAAAGCUUGUGAUACUCUGAUUUGCCUAUAAAUUGAAUUUUUUUGAAUUAGUCCAGGGAGUUUAGGGAGUUGCGAUACACAGUGAACUAUCUUCACUUCUGAAAAAGCUGUUUGUUCAAUAGCCAGGUGUAGUAUUCCUUUCUUUUUUUUUUUUUUUCUCUUAAAUAAAAAUGAACACUGUGCAAACACUGUCUAACUCCUUUUUAAUCUGUCAGCACAUUCUUUACAUCUGUGCAUAAAUAUUAUUAUCACAAACUCAGAGUGCUACUGCAAAAAUUAUCAGAGUCCUCAAAAUGUACUCUGCAGCUUCCAUUGGAAUACAACUUUGAUGCAUUAAUGUGAAAACAAGCAAGCUUUAGGAGUUAAAAAUAGACAUUUCAUUUUCACAGAUGAUUACCCAGGGUUUCCUUCUCUGUCGUAUGUAUGCACAGGGUAAAUAUUUUGUAUUUAGUACAGUAUUGUUUUCUAACACGUCGUUAGGCUUGACAUUAUUUCCGAUUACAUC
ensembl:lncRNA